rnacentral:rRNA from 1 species
UACGAAUGAAGACUCAGGUGCUUGCACUGGGUGGAUGAGUGGCGAACGGGUGAGUAAUACGUGAGUAACCUGCCCUUGACUCUGGGAUAAGCCUGGGAAACUGGGUCUAAUACUGGAUAUGACAUGUCACCGCAUGGUGGUGUGUGGAAAGGGUUUUACUGGUUUUGGAUGGGCUCACGGCCUAUCAGCUUGUUGGUGGGGUAAUGGCUCACCAAGGCGACGACGGGUAGCCGGCCUGAGAGGGUGACCGGCCACACUGGGACUGAGACACGGCCCAGACUCCUACGGGAGGCAGCAGUGGGGAAUAUUGCACAAUGGGCGGAAGCCUGAUGCAGCGACGCCGCGUGAGGGAUGACGGCCUUCGGGUUGUAAACCUCUUUCAGCACGGAAGAAGCGAAAGUGACGGUACGUGCAGAAGAAGCGCCGGCUAACUACGUGCCAGCAGCCGCGGUAAUACGUAGGGCGCAAGCGUUGUCCGGAAUUAUUGGGCGUAAAGAGCUCGUAGGCGGUUUGUCGCGUCUGCUGUGAAAGCCCGGGGCUUAACCCCGGGUGUGCAGUGGGUACGGGCAGACUUGAGUGCAGUAGGGGAGACUGGAAUUCCUGGUGUAGCGGUGAAAUGCGCAGAUAUCAGGAGGAACACCGAUGGCGAAGGCAGGUCUCUGGGCUGUUACUGACGCUGAGGAGCGAAAGCAUGGGGAGCGAACAGGAUUAGAUACCCUGGUAGUCCAUGCCGUAAACGUUGGGCACUAGGUGUGGGGAACAUUCCACGUUUUCCGCGCCGUAGCUAACGCAUUAAGUGCCCCGCCUGGGGAGUACGGCCGCAAGGCUAAAACUCAAAGGAAUUGACGGGGGCCCGCACAAGCGGCGGAGCAUGCGGAUUAAUUCGAUGCAACGCGAAGAACCUUACCAAGGCUUGACAUACACCGGACCGGGCCAGAAAUGGUCUUUCCCCCUUGUGGGGCUGGUGUACAGGUGGUGCAUGGUUGUCCUCAGCUCCUGUCCGGAAAUGUUGGGUUAAGUCCCCCAACGAAGGCAACCCUCGUUCUAUGUUGCCAGCACUUGAUGGUGGGGACUCAUAGGAAACUGCCGGGGUCAAUUCGGAGGAAGGUGGGGAUAACGUCAAAUCAUCUGGCCCCUUAAGGCUUGGGCUUCACGCAGGCUACAAUGGCCAGUACAAUGGGGUGCCAUGCCCCGAGGUGGAACUAAUCCCAAAAGCUGGGUCAAUUUCGGAAUUGGUUUCGGAAUCCCCACCGGGAACUCG